GCCGGGCGCGGUGGCGCACGACUGUAGACCCAGCUACUCGGGAGGCUGAGACAGGAGUCCAGGGGUUCUGGGCUGUAGUGCGCUAUGCCGAUCGGGUGUCCGCACUAAUUUCCGCAUCAAUAUGGUGACCUCCCGGGGGCGGGGGGCCACCAGGUUGCCUAAGGAGGGGUGAACCGGCCCAGGUCGGAAACGGAGCAGGUCAAAACUCCCGUGCUGAUCAAAGCUACAGGAUCUCCAUGACACGGGGCAACAACAGGAUAUCAAAGAGGGCCCAGUAUUGAU
rfam:Mesocricetus auratus contig008010, whole genome shotgun sequence.